rnacentral:rRNA from 1 species
CUUAAAUGAAUUGACGGGGCCCGCACAAGCGGUGGAGCAUGUGGUUAAUUCGACGCAACGCGAAGAACCUUACCAGGGCUUGACAUCCCCUGACCGCGUAUGAAAGUACGUUUUCACCCUCGGGUGACAGGGAGACAGGUGGUGCAUGGUUGUCGUCAGCUCGUGUCGUGAGAUGUUGGGUUAAGUCCCGCAACGAGCGCAACCCCUACGUUUAGUUGCUAACGCGUGAAGGCGAGCACUCUAGACGAACUGCCGUUGACAAAACGGAGGAAGGUGGGAUGACGUCAAAUCAUCAUGCCCCUUAUGUUCUGGGCUACACACGUGCUACAAUGGCCGGUACAGACGGACGCAAAGCCGCGAGGUGGAGCAAAUCCUAAAAAGCCGGUCUCAGUUCGGAUUGCAGGCUGCAAUUCGCCUGCAUGAAGUCGGAAUCGCUAGUAAUCGCAGGUCAGCAUACUGCGGUGAAUACGUUCCCGGGCCUU